AAUUUAUGAUAAAUUAAAUAUUUUGUAUGGCAUUUCAAUAAUUGUUCAAAAGUUAACGAAGAUGAGCAGAGAUGGGGCAAUUGUAGCACCCAAAAGCUUAAAAAUGAGCAGAGAUGGGGCAAUUGCAGCACCCAAAAGCCGCCGGACAUUAAAUUUUGUGGCUGGUUUGCACGUUGAAAAGGAAUCUGAGGAGGCCAACCAUUUCUUGAGGCGAAGAUUCAUGCUUCAUUUCUUCGGAGAAUCUGCGCUGAUUAUGGCAAGAACUUCUAUUUGGGAACUCUGCUGAUGACGAAGGAGCGGCAGAGAGCACUAUAUGGAAUUUUGAAGAUAACCCAUCUCAGAAAAGCCAUGAAAAUGAGAACAGAUGAACUUGUGGACGUCCCCAAGUGCUUGAUGGGUGCAAAGAAUGUUUGCAAGACAUCUUUGAAGGGUGUCCCUAUGACGUGCUGGAAGCUGCUUUUAAGUCCGCACAACGUCCAAAUUUCGCACACAUAUCCCUGCUAUGAACUAGGUUGUACCUAUUCCGAUUCAAAAUGAAAAAAAGCUAGGAGCCCUAAAGAAGAAAGGGGCAGGAGCACUCACCCUUUAAAGCGGUUUGGAAUAACUUUCUAAACACUUCCAAACACAUUUUUUCUUCACAUAAUUACACUUUUUUAAGUACUCACAAAGUCAUCCUUAUCUUUUGAUUGAGGAUAUGAUAGUUUUGAAGAACUGUAUUGGUACUGUUACCAUGUAGCUGGAACUGCGAGGCUAAUGAGUGUGCCUGUUAUGGUAAUUGCAUCUGAUUCUUUGCUUC